AUGAAAAUCAUAAGUUGGGACUGCAGGAGGUUAGGGAGUCCUCGUGCAGUUCGAGCCUUGUUGAGGCUCAUCCCUUUGGAAAAUCCUGACAUAAUUUUCCUUAUGGAAACUCGCAUGAAGAAAGAUGAAGUGUUAAAGGUUAAGUCUAAAUGUGAUUUUGAGUGUUGUCAAUGGGUGGAGUGCACAAGGAGCGGUACAAAUCGAGCAAGAGGGUUAGUCCUGAUGUGGAAGGAGAAGGUUAAGGUUGACAUUCUUUCCUCAUCAAAUAAUCACAUAGGAGGUUCGGUGGAGGAGGAUGAAGUCUAA
rnacentral:lncRNA from 1 species